UGGUUCUCGUUAGAUCACCGAAGUUAAGCAUCAUUGGGCGCCGUCAGUACUUGGGUGGGUGACCACCUGGGAACACUGCGUGCCGUU